AAUUCUUUCUUCUGCGUCCCUUUCCCUUUGUGCUAUAUGAACGAUCGUCCAUCCUCAUGCUCAGUUCUGAGGGAUAGUUGUGUGUGAAAACCGUACAUCACCAAGCUUGUUGAGAACACAAAUUUUCUUUUCAGUUGAAAAUUCCACUACAUAAAUAUAUACAGGUAGGUACAAGCUCCUACUGUUGUUUACAGUGAAAACUGCAGGAACUUCAAACCGGCACUAGGAAACAGACUGAGAAACCAGAGUAAAGUUUCUCUUGCAAACCGUUCCCUUAGUGCUAGAUGAACGAACAUCUCUCCAAAUACUCACUUCUGGGAGAUAAGUGGGUGUGCAACUUGACCUUCACCUAUCUUGUUGGGAACACAAAGUUUCUUUUCAUUUGCAAACCCCACUACAUACAUAUAUUGGGGAGGUUCAAGCUCCAACUUGGGUUUACACUGAAAAUUGCAGCAACUUCGUACCGGCAGUAGGAAACAGACUGAGAAACCAGAGUAAGAAUUUCCACUUCAAUCCAUUCCCUUUGUGCUAGAUGAACGAACGUCUCUCCACAUGCUCAGUUCUGAGAGAUAAGUGUGUGUGAAAGCCGUCCUUCACCUACUUGUUGUGAACAGAAAGUUUCUUGUCAGUUGAAAACUCCACUACAUGCAUAUAUAAGGGAAGGUUCAAGCUCCAACACAGAUUUACAAUGAUAACUGCAGGAACUUCCAAGCAGAACUAGGAAACAGACUGAGAAAACAGAGUAAGUGUUUCUCCUGUAACCCGUUCUGUUUGUGCUAGAUGAACGAAGGUCUCUCCAUGUGCUCACUUCUGGGAGAUAUGUGUGUGUGAAAGCCGUCCCUCAACUAAGUUCCUGGGAACACAAAGUUCCUUUU